GACGAACGCUGGCGGCGUGCCUAACACAUGCAAGUCGAGCGAAUGAAAUUCCUUCGGGAACGGAUUUAGCGGCGGACGGGUGAGUAACACGUGGGCAACCUGCCUCAUAGAGGGGAAUAGCCUUCCGAAAGGGAGAUUAAUACCGCAUAAGAUUGUACUACCGCAUGGUACAGCAAUUAAAGGAGCAAUCCGCUAUGAGAUGGGCCCGCGGCGCAUUAGCUAGUUGGUGAGGUAACGGCUCACCAAGGCGACGAUGCGUAGCCGACCUGAGAGGGUGAUCGGCCACAUUGGGACUGAGACACGGCCCAGACUCCUACGGGAGGCAGCAGUGGGGAAUAUUGCACAAUGGGGGAAACCCUGAUGCAGCAACGCCGCGUGAGUGAUGACGGCCUUCGGGUUGUAAAGCUCUGUCUUCAGGGACGAUAAUGACGGUACCUGAGGAGGAAGCCACGGCUAACUACGUGCCAGCAGCCGCGGUAA
rnacentral:rRNA from 1 species